UAUGUAUAUAUAUGGACAAGUACAAACAUUCAUAAACAUGAAUAUAUAAAUUAAUUACGUAUCUCAAAACAAACCCAGCAUACAAAUAUUGCGAUAACAAACAUUAGUAUAUAUGCACGUAUGCAUGUAUGUAUGUACAUAUGUGCAUAUAUAUAUACAAGCUAAAUUGUACGUACGCGAAUUCUAUUUUGAACAUUUUGCGAUUCUUUACGUACGUGUGUACGUACAUUUGUACCAAAUACAUACAUAUACAUAUACAUAUACAUGUAUAUGCAAGCGCCUUUGUAUAUAAAUAUAUCAAUAUAUAAAUGUUUGCAUGUGUGUGUAUAUGUAUACACUCAUAUAUUCGUAAAUAAAGAUUUGUACGUCUUCACAUAUACACUUGUAAGUAUGUAUGCACAUACAUACAUGUAAUUAAAGUAUUCGCACAUGUUUCAAUUAUUUCACUUGGUACAGAUUUGGAUUGCAGCGCACUGCUUUUGAGUUGGCUACCACACAAAAAAAUAAACAGGGAUCAACAAAGUGGCAGCAGCGAAUACAGCGAUAUACAACAGAGCCUGACCGUGCCAUAUAACUAACUGACAGAUCCGCAUCCACAUUCACAUUUACAGACAUAAACAAGAAGCUGUUGCGCUGAGGAUGAGUGUGCGCUACGUUCACGUUCGGUCAGGGCACCAGGUCCCAUUUCAGAGUGUGGGUGGGCAGCGUAAGUGUUCGUUCUACUACACACUUCGUAGUUCUCAUGCGCGUUUAUUACAAUUGGAAUAUAGCACGAUUAAUCUAGCAUUGUGUUAUUUUUCAAAGUUUUUGUGCGCUUUUAACUUAUAAAUAUGAUUGGCCGAAUAAAAACACAAAGCAGCUUCGUGUGAUGAUCGCAGAAAGGACCCUGGUUCCGGCCCUGCAUCUUAUACCCUGUACCUAUAACAAUGCGUAACGUUGAUAUAAUAAUACUGUAGCAAACAUAUGCGACAGACAGAGUCUGAGUUUACUUAUAAUUUCUAAUUUCAACAGACACGCAUAAAGUCGCACAAUUUAUAAGUUAAUUCAAUCCUAUACUUCAGUAUAGGGAAUCUUCAAGUCGACCUCGCUCUACUUAAGCGUUUUACUCGUUCUGAUUGUUGUUGCUUGCCACAAAAUACGUCUUACUUUUUUUUGUCGAAGUUUAUAUUCUCUAACAAAUCUUACUUAAGUUCAAAAAUAUAAAUUUGUUUUAUUCAAAUAAAUUUUUUUCAGAUGUCUUACCUGUUAUAUCGCAUAAAUAGCUAUAUUGAAUAAAUGUUUCGAAUCAAUUUUACAAUUCAA